AUUGAACGCUGGCGGCAUGCUUUACACAUGCAAGUCGAACGGUAACAGGUUAAGCUGACGAGUGGCGAACGGGUGAGUAAUGCAUCGGAACGUGCCCGAUCGUGGGGGAUAACGCAGCGAAAGCUGCGCUAAUACCGCAUACGAUCUGAGGAUGAAAGCGGGGGACCGUAAGGCCUCGCGCGAUCGGAGCGGCCGAUGUCAGAUUAGGUAGUUGGUGGGGUAAAGGCUCACCAAGCCAACGAUCUGUAGCUGGUCUGAGAGGACGACCAGCCACACUGGGACUGAGACACGGCCCAGACUCCUACGGGAGGCAGCAGUGGGGAAUUUUGGACAAUGGGCGAAAGCCUGAUCCAGCAAUGCCGCGUGCAGGAAGAAGGCCUUCGGGUUGUAAACUGCUUUUGUACGGAGCGAAAAGGUCUCCUCUAAUACAGGGGGCUCAUGACGGUACCGUAAGAAUAAGCACCGGCUAACUACGUGCCAGCCGCCGCGGUAA
rnacentral:rRNA from 1 species